rnacentral:rRNA from 1 species
GGAAACAGGUUAAUAUUCCUGUACUUGGUGUUACUGCGAAGGGGGGACGGAGAAGGCUAUGUUAGCCGGGCGACGGUUGUCCCGGUUUAAGCAUGUAGGCGGAGGUUCCAGGUAAAUCCGGUACCUUAUUAACGCUGAGGUGUGAUGACGAGGCACUACGGUGCUGAAGUAACAAAUGCCCUGCUUCCAGGAAAAGCCUCUAAGCAUCAGGUAACAUUGAAUCGUACCCCAAACCGACACAGGUGGUCAGGUAGA